rnacentral:lncRNA from 1 species
AUGGAUUCAGAAACUACUUAUGAGAGGCAGGCGGUCCAAGGCUGAUGCCCAAAGAAGCCAUCAAGACCCGUGCUACUUCCAGCUCCUUCUGUCCUCAUAAUCAUAGAUGAUUGCUCCACAUCCAGCACCUAACACCAGUACUCAGUUAAAUUUUUUGCUGAAUAAAUCAAUGAAUGGAGAGGUAAAGAGGAACCAGAAGUUGGGGUUACGGAAGUCACUGAUGGAAGAGUUUCAAGAUAGUAGAAGUGGUCAGCCCUGUUAAGUGACAAGCCAAGGACUGAAGAAAGGCUGGCAGAUUUGGCAAUCAGAUGAAGUGACCUGACCAAAGAGCAGCUUGUGUGAAGUAGUGAGGACAGGCGCUGGUCUGCAACGGGUUUAGGAGGAAAUGGAAAUGAGGAAGAAGAGAUAGGAAAGUGGAGAUUAUACAAUGGCAAGUAUCAAGAUGAAAAUGAACACAUUUGGCCUGCUACCUGAAUUUUUUAAAUCGGCUCACCAAAAAAUAUCAGGCUUAUUGAAAUAUUGGCAUAUCUGAUGAAGUUUCCUCUUAUCUUUGAGCUGUUUGGGUUUGGGUAAAACUUCAAUGCUUAAAAUUCACGUCUACAACUAGCAGGCAGAACCUUAAAGUCCAGAACAAUUAAAGGGUUUAAUAAUGAGCCUCGCUCAGUUUCCUGGAGUGUAAUGGCAUGAUCUUGGCUCACGGCAACCUCUGCCUCCCGGCUUCAAGUGAUUCCCCUGCUUCAGCCUCCCAAGUAGCUGGGACUACAGGCAUGCACCACCAUGCCCAGCUAAUUUUUUUUUUUAAAUAUUUUAGUAAAGACAGGGUUUAACCAUGUUGGCCAGGAUGGUCUUGAUCUCCUGACCUCGUGAUCCGCCCACCUCGGCCUCCCAAAGUGCUGGGAUUACAGGCGUGAGCCACCUUGCCCGGCCUUCUAUUCCUUUUUCUAAUGCAUUUGCCCCAGCUAUCUGUAUAGCCUACAAUCUGGUAGACGGACCACAGGGAAACCACUGCGGCAAACUAAAAGUGUCUAUCUCAGAUCCUUCCACCCCAUCAUUUCCAAAAUCACCCUAUCUCCACCACCAUCACCUUUACCGCC